AAGAACUGGAUCGGCGUUCUGUGAUCAGAGCUCUAUGCUGAAGUCUGCAUCUAGCAAUCACUUGGACACCUUCAGUCACUAAUAAACGGCAUAGCUACUCCAAGAAAAAAGAAAGCCACAAACAGAUCAGUAGCAGAACCAAAUGGAAGCCAUGUGCCUGUCUUGUACCUUUGGCUGGAGUUUACAUGAGUUAUUGUUGCUCAGUCUGCCUUUGCCUUCUUAUUCCUCCGAGCAUUACGAAGGCACCAGAGGCCACUCUUGUCAGUGCGCUUUAAUCCUUUCAGAAAGUGGGACAUGGGCGAGGGAACGAGAGCCAAUGAGUCCUCCCAGAAAACCCCAGCGCCUCCCCCUCCGGCUGCCUCCUCUGGCACGGGAACAAUGAAAAGAAUGUGAACCCCUUGUAACUUUAUUGCAAAUCCAACCUCAGGCUGAAUGAGGGAGAAUAAUUACAGGAAAGUGGCAACUUUCCCUAUGCUUUGGAAGGAACAGUUGGGGGCGCGACAGAAACGAAUGUAAGGUAAUGUAAUCAUUUACAGAAGAUUUGUGGUCAAUGAAUGUUUGGCUUCUGUCCAAGCACACAGCCAGAGCUCAUUACAUUUAAGAAGACGGCCGUGAAAGCUUUCAAUGACCACUGUUUGUCUUUCAUUUCAUCUCACGUCUGACCCCCCUGACCUCAGGGAAGCCUGCUAAGACUUUUCUUUUCACUGGCCAGAUUUCAACUGCGGUAAAUGUGAUUUCUAAAUGACAACACUGUAAAUUCCCUGUGCGCUGGACCUUUCGCUUAAUAACGAACCACGGCCUUUGCAACCUCAAGUACCUUAGCGAAGAACAGAUUUUUUUUUUCCACAUGAAAACAGCAGUGCGGGGCCUUGGGAUAGGGUAACUUAGCAACUAGACCACAGGGAUUAGGAAAAUUGACUCCAGACCAAAAUAAAACACCAGAGUUUCCUGUUUUGAGCCUUUCUGUACUAUAUUACAAUUAUUUAUGAAAAGAGUAACAAAAAGGGGAAAAGGGGGAUUAGGGUCUGAAGUGGGAGCAGAGAAUGGAUGUCCUUAGCACUGUACCAUAUUCUAAAUGAAGAGCUGGUAAAUGUAACCUUUUGGGGGCUAAAGGGAGAGAGGGUAGUUGGGGGGCGGGGGAGUGUUUGUAGGCACUGAAAAAAAUAGCUCCCUGACAUUGGCUAUCUAGUGCUGAAAUGCAAACUGUGCUUCCACUCCUUUGCCCCUGCACGCAUGGGAGCUCCACGCUCAUAACAGAGUUAGAUGAGACCCCUCUCUACCUGCGCCUAUUGUAAAACUGGCCAGCACACUGUGUGUUGUCACUGGACAAAAGGUACGGUGCCCCCACCAUGUAGACUGGAGAGCUACUGCUCUCCCUGGCUGGUUUGAGAGAACGUUUUUGGGGUGGAAUUGCACUGAAGCGGACUCCAGGAAACAGUCAGACACUCAGUCUUUUCCCAGAGACGACAGGCAGAGAUUUUUGCAACCAGGAUUCUUGGAUCUUUUUUCAGUUAAUAAAGAAGGAUUGUAUUUAUCGACACUUCGAGGACAGAGACCUGAAAUCUGCCAGACCUCACGAGAGCGGGAUGAACUAGUGCUGUCAGUGAGACUUGUUAUCUGUUGGCCUCUGGACACCAGAGUGACCAGCUAAUCAAGACUGUGAAGUCAACAAGAGAUUGCAAACUCUACAGGAAGGAACACAGCACUGGGUCCUGUUUACAGCUAAGAACAAAGAAUUAGUCUGGUACAUCAGGAGAAUGCAAGGAGAAACACGGUUUCCUUCAUUGAGGCGAGAACUGCCAGCAGGUGCUAUCUUAUGAAAGGAGGGUCACAGGCAGCUUGGUUGAAAAAUGCUGCAAAGACUUGGGGUGAACUAAACUUCCUUAAGACAAUAUUUUGUUAAUUAAGUCUAGGCUUUAGAAUGUGUGAUAAGGUUUUAUUUUACAUGUAACCAUCUGUUUCCAAUUCUUCUAUUUGCUAUUACCUGAAUCUCUGUUCUUGGUUAAACAAACAUGUCCCUGUUUUCUCUAUAAACAAACCCAAGUGCUGAGAGGUGAGUGGAGCGGUGAUGCUGAGGAGAAGCUGGCAAGCGGAGGAGUUCUGUUCGUUUGGGAACAGUGGAUCUGUGAGCGUCCAGAGGACCAGGUGGACGCUCAGAGGUUGAAGUCUGAGUAUUGCAUUGCCACUACCUGCAGAGGGCCUGUGGAACCAGCAUAGGCUGAGAGAGGAGGAUGUGUGACUGGUGGAGUCAGGGACCUGACUCUAGGUGGGCACAGACAAGGCUCCCUCAUGCUAAGGGCAGGUGCUAGAGAGGUGGCUCCCAACCUUGGAUACCCCUGAGAAGUGUCACAUCCUACCAUGCUCAACUCCAAAUCAGAGAUUUCCUCAGAAAAUGCUGUGCCACUUGUGAGUGUUAAGUGCACGACCGGUGAGGAGGAACGGCAUCCCGGGUAACACAGAAGCCUUUAGAACAGGUGAAUGACGGGGGAUUUUAACAUUAAACUGGCAAUAAGUUUCGAGUUCAAGAAACCAAAGCCAAUUGUGCUGGCUAAAGUAGCUAUUUGGCUCCGCAGGAAGUAACAAAAACCAGCGACAGGAGAGAAGCCAGGAAUAUACUUAGAAAAGGGCAAUAAUUGUGCUCUGUGAGGAUUUGUGGUUCUUGAGGAUAUAAAGAGCUUUCUUGGACAUUGAGACCUGAGGAAGCAUAAUAGUCCUUUGCACAGGCUAUUCGAAAGGGCUGAACAUGGGGCCUUCGGCAUGGCAACACAGACCCCACAGCUUGAGCUAAAAGAAUAACUUCAGUAGCAGUAGUAGGUUGUGCACCAGCCACCAGAAGAAGACAUAGCAUACGCUCUACCAAUGUUUUACAAACGGUCAGCUGAUAUCAGUGAUCUUGGUGGACAAGCAAUCUUAUAUACCUUUUCCAUCCUAUAAGGAGCUGUGCAAGUUGGCUGGCAUAAUGAUUCUGAGUUAUAAAUUAUGUAACUGGGGAAACUAUAUAUCGUACACUACUUGUACUGAUUUUUUUCUUUGUAAAAUCUGUAUGCCUCAGACUCUUAGCUCCCUGGUAUUCCCUGCUUUAUACCCUACAGUUGUUGAUUUACAUUGCCACUUUAUAUGCCUGGUUUACAAAUAGUGACGUUUAAGUCUACAGUUGGGAAGAAGUGAUUCAGACUUCAAACAACAUAUUGGUAGCUUGUUUUUCUAGAAGAAUAAACAGUACUUGCGUCACUUUAGCAGCCUUUUUUAGAGGAAGUGCAUCAAAUGGUUAGUAAUUACUAUAUAACAACAAAUAUAAUGUUAUAGUGGGAAUCACCAGGUGGUGCUCUUACAUAGUCUUAUUGGUUCUUAUUCUUGUUCUGUGAGCACUGUUCAUUCUCUGAAGAAAUUCUUGUAGUGUUAGUUGUGUGAUGUAGUUGCUUUUUGGGGGGAAUUCUGACAAGCAGCAAGGGAAUUUGCUGUCUGCCUUCCAAGUCUCUUACUAGAGUCAAUUCUUGAGGCAAAGAUUGUAGAAAAGGGAAGUUCAUGUGUGUCAUUAGUGACCACCUCUGUUCAAGGACUGGCCUAUACAGUGUAAA